rnacentral:lncRNA from 1 species
AUAAAGGGGGAUACAGCUAGGUAUUUUAGAGUGCCAACCUCAGGAAAGAGAUGGAUUGUAUUAGAGGAUUGGUAUGUGACUUUAGGAUGGGACGGUGGUGAAAAAGUAAGGGAAGAUCGGGAUCUUUUGAGGGAUGGCUUUUGUGGUUUGUCAGAAGGACUUUCAGUAGAGGGGUGAAAAGUUUUUGUGGCUGUGAAAGAGUCUAAAUUAAGAGAUGUAGGGACUAAGGGACUAGUGGGAAGAGAAACAGUUUUGGGUGAGCGGACGGGAGUGUUUGAAGGAGAGGAAGAAGAAGCCUUAGUAACCUUUGUUUUUACUGCGACAAACUGCAUAUUUACUACCGGUUUUUUCAUAGGUUUUUGCUGAAAAGCUGAGUCUCAUUUCUUUGCGCUUGCAGCAUUACCAGUAGCAACAGAAGCAGAUGAGGCAGGAGGGGCUUUAGGUGGAAUGUAAGUCAGACAGUUUCUCACAACGUGCCCAAGCUCAUGACAAUGGGUACAUUUGGGAGGCAGCCACGGGUACGAGACAAGUACCUCAACCACUUCACCACUCUGCCUUACAAACUCAACAACACUCGGGAGAGGCUUAGUUAGAUCAACUUCUACCUUCACGUGAGACAAGAUAAGGUUCACUAAGUUUAGAGUAAAAUCAUCUGUCUCUUUCGGCUCACCAAUCAGUCCCGCAACGAGACUAAACCCGUGUUGGUAACGUAGGUCGAGAAGAACUCUUGUUAAGUGAGCCCAUAUCUUGAUAG